AAAGCUGUACUUUAAAUCUGCUGACUAGAGAAAUGAAAUAGCAUUAGCGACUGAUUUCCACAAAAUCUUUCAUAAAAGAUGAAGACAUUCUAUGUGAUCUUCUCUUCUUUUGGAAUAAUGCCACCAAGAUUUGAUCCUAUGAGUAAGAGUGCUCAAGAAGAGCUGGGCCGCUGAAUGGCUUCCUUGUUGGAACAUUGACAACAGUUACCUUUCAUGGACCCCUCGAAGCUUCUCCAAAUGUCUAGCAGCAACUCCUAUUAUACUUCAUACUGUAGCAGUGCUGGCAGUUUGUAGGACCUUGGCUCAUGAGCCAGGAGUCGGGCUGAAGCUCCUGUGGUGGGAGCGCCGAGUCCAAACCACUGGACUAACAGAGAACCUCAGACUCCAGGGGAUAUUCAUUGGACUAAGGUCUCACGGAGGUCCUCAUCUCAGUGCCAAGGACCAGCUCUACCCAAUAGCCUACAAACUCCAGUGUUGGAAGCCUCAGGCCAAACAACCAGUAAUACAGGAAAACAAUCCCAAUCAGAAAAAAAAAAAAAAGAGAGACAGCAAAAAAAUAUGACACAGAUGAAGGAUCAAGGUAAACACCUACAAGACCAAAUAAAUGAGGGGAAAUAGGCAAUCUAUCUGAAAAAGAAUUCAGAGUAAUGAUAAUAAAGAAGAUCCAGAAUCUCAGAAAUAGAAUGGAGGCACAGAUUGAGAAAAUACAAGAAAUGUUUAACAAAGAUCUAGAAGAACUAAAGAACAAACAAACAGAGAUGAACAACACAGUAACUAAAAUAAAAAUACUCUAGAAGGAAUCAACAACA